rnacentral:tRNA from 1 species
GAGGGUAUAGCUCGGCGGCAGAGUGUGUGCUUAGCAUGCAUGAGAUCCUGGGUUCAAUCCCCAGUACCUCCA